AUGGUAGUCUUCGAGAAAUUCUAUCAGCUCAGGGGGCAGAAUUUCUCGGAGCUGAACACUGCAUUCAUCGCCUUGCUACCCAAGAAGAACGAUACCUCUGAGAUCAGCCGCUUCAGACAGAUCAGUCUCAUACACUCCAUUACAAAGUUCAUUUCUAAAGUGCUCUCUGUCAGGCUUGCGUCUGCCACUAAAAGGCUAAUUUCCCCAGUCCAAAUAGCAUUCCGGAAGGGAAAAUGCAUCCAUGAUAGCUAUCAAUAUGUCCAGGGCUGUGCCAGAAUGUUGCAAAGGGAGACAAGGCCAUCAUUAUUGUUUAAGUUGGACAUCAAAGGCUUUCAACAUAGUGUCAUGGGAAUAUAUCUUAGAGCUAAUGCACCAAAUGGGUUUUCCCACAAGAUGGAGGGAUUGGAUUGCAAUGUUGCUAUCAUCAUCCUUUGUCCUCAUGCAUGUUAA
rnacentral:rRNA from 1 species